rnacentral:tRNA from 1 species
GCCCCCGUAGCUCAGUAGGAUAGAGCAACGGUUUCCUAAACCGGAGGUCGUGUGUUCGAAUCACGCCGGGGGCACCA